rnacentral:rRNA from 1 species
GACGAACGCUGGCGGCGUGCCUAAUACAUGCAAGUAGAACGCUGAAGCUUGGUGCUUGCACCGAGCGGAUGAGUUGCGAACGGGUGAGUAACGCGUAGGUAACCUGCCUGGUAGCGGGGGAUAACUAUUGGAAACGAUAGCUAAUACCGCAUAAGAGUAGAUGUUGCAUGACAUUUGCUUAAAAGGUGCAAUUGCAUCACUACCAGAUGGACCUGCGUUGUAUUAGCUAGUUGGUGAGGUAACGGCUCACCAAGGCAACGAUACAUAGCCGACCUGAGAGGGUGAUCGGCCACACUGGGACUGAGACACGGCCCAGACUCCUACGGGAGGCAGCAGUAGGGAAUCUUCGGCAAUGGACGGAAGUCUGACCGAGCAACGCCGCGUGAGUGAAGAAGGUUUUCGGAUCGUAAGGCUCUGUUGUAAGAGAAGAACGAGUGUGAGAGUGGAAAGUUCACACUGUGACGGUAUCUUACCAGAAAGGGACGGCUAACUACGUG